UUCUCUUAAUUUUUCACCCCGAUCGACCAAAGCUUAAUUAAUCCCUAAGACGUGUAAAACAUACUUCUUGCUGCUGGCUUUGCUCCUUGGAGUGGUGAUUCUCGCCACUCCCACCAUUGCCGACGACCACAAGCCACCGUCAGCAGAGGAGGAAGCUCUGUAAGAAACCUACCAUGGUAAGCCAUCAAAAUAUAAGUCUUAUAAGCCCCCGCCAAAGCACUACCCACCAAAGGGUAAGGGAGAGAAGCCACCUCAUGGACACUUUCCCGAUCACCCUCCGAUGGAGGAUGUGGACGACUCAUACCACAAGGCACCCACGAAGAAAUAUCCUCCAAAGAAACCACUACACAAGCCUCCUACUUCCAACUGAAUGACUAGCUAGCUAGCCCAUGCUUGAUAAUUAAAUUAUGUUGCUGCUGUACCGUACAUCCGCCUUGGCCGUACAGCAGGCUUGUUUUGCGUUCUUGGCAACGAGUAUGUACAUACAUACACACAUAAUUUAUCGAUAUUAUAAAAUAUACAUAUCUAUCAAAAUAUUACAAUUUACACUAUUGAGGUUUUAAUUAUAUUAUUUAUUAAUAUUAUAAAAUAUACAUGUCUACCAAUAUUUUAUACGUGAUAUCGAAAAAUAAUCGGGUUACCCAAUAACCCAUUUAAUAUUUAUAUAUUAAACAAAAGUUACAUCAAAUAUUUACAUACUGUCAUACAUAUGUAUGUACAUACAUACACACAUAAUUUAUCGAUAUUAUAAAAUAUACAUAUCUAUCAAAAUAUUACAAUUUACACUAUUGAGGUUUUAAUUAUAUUAUUUAUUAAUAUUAUAAAAUAUACAUGUCUACCAAUAUUUUAUACAUUUACACUAUUGAAGCUUUAAAUAUAUUUAAAAUUUUAUAAAUAAAACAUUGUGUUUAUAUUCAUCAUUUUAAAGAAUAAAAAAAAAGAAAAUCAUCUCUAAUAUUUGAGUUUUGAUGACAAGAACUUGCAAAUUAUUUUAAAAUAAAAAAUAUAAUCGGGUCAUUGAUUGAGUAAAUGGGUCAAGAAUUUUAACUCUAACCCGACACGGAACAAAAUCGUAUCGACCCGAACCCGACCCAUUUAAUAAUCGUGCUAAAUUCGACAACCCAUACUCAUUUAUCUGUGUCGUGUUUGUGUUGAAUAAUCGGAUCGUGUCAAAUUUUGCCAGCUCUACUUUGCAGGUCUAUCCUCAUUAAUACCUUUAGAAUGGUGGGACUGGUUCAUUAAUAUCUUUAGAAUACUGGGACUGGUUCAUUAAUACCUUUAGAAUGGUAGGACUGGUUCAUUAAUACCUUUAGAAUAAUAGGACUGGUUCAUUAAUACCUUUAAAAUAGUGGGAUUGGUUUUAAUACCCUUAGUCGAUAAAGAAGGCAUGCCAAAGAAAUGAAAUUAAGGAUGCGGUUACCUAUCAAUCGUAAUCUCUAAUUUACCUAAUAUAGAGAAUUUGCUACUAUCGGUGGGUUACAUAUGAGGAUAAAUAUCUACUACAAAGAGCUUUCUACACAGAAUACAGAAAGCAUAUUGACAAAGAAAAUUAAACAGCUGAAAGGACCUAUGUUGAAGGAUUAUAGGCUUUAGGCCAAUAUAAAAGGCCAUGCAGUUCUCUUAAUUUUUCACCCCGAUCGACCAAAGCUUAAUUAAUCCCUAAGACGUGUAAAACAUACUUCUUGCUGCUGGCUUUGCUCCUUGGAGUGGUGAUUCUCGCCACUCCCACCAUUGCCGACGACCACAAGCCACCGUCAGCAGAGGAGGAAGCUCUGUAAGAAACCUACCAUGGUAAGCCAUCAAAAUAUAAGUCUUAUAAGCCCCCGCCAAAGCACUACCCACCAAAGGGUAAGGGAGAGAAGCCACCUCAUGGACACUUUCCCGAUCACCCUCCGAUGGAGGAUGUGGACGACUCAUACCACAAGGCACCCACGAAGAAAUAUCCUCCAAAGAAACCACUACACAAGCCUCCUACUUCCAACUGAAUGACUAGCUAGCUAGCCC
rnacentral:lncRNA from 1 species